CGAAAAGAAGAGACUCAUGUUUUACUCCCCACCUGCCUGAGAACAAGGAGGCAGUGAUCAGAGGGACACGGAAAGGUCUCAGUACUCUUGUGUCUGGGAACACAAGAGCCAUUUUGAUGGAUGUGCUACAGUUUUAAAAUACAGAAAUCUCAAAUAAACUGUACUGGCAAAAAUGGGCAUUGACUGUUAAUGGCUACAGGCAUCCAAGAUGGAAAAAUAGCCAACAGCACACCUGAUUCCACUCCAACUUCUUGACUCACUUUCCCUACAGUGAAAACACUCCCCUAUCGCCUACUGAGGAUUUAUUGGGUACACUGAAUCAAAUUACCAAAGAUUACCUUUCUCCACCCCUUUGAAUGAAAGCCAAGCAUCUCCAUAGAGAUGAGUAAUUUAUAGCUAUUUUCCCAUCCAGCUGGUAGAUUGUUCUGUUCCUGCCAGUCAACCCUUUUCAACCACAGCCUAGUGAGAGGUGCCAACAACAGUUCUUAAGAAACGUCUCGAGAUUCAGCACCAGUUACUACCAGUUUUGGAUCCUGCAGCCCACUAUUACUGCAGAAUUCAGGGUGCCACCAAGAGAAACUGUGAUCGUGUUAGGGAGUACAAAAUUGUCCCAGACUCUUAAAUGAUGACAUGCUCAGCCUAAGUUUAAAAGCUACCUUCUGCAAUUACCACAGCCUGCAAAAGAGAUUGCCUGGAUAACCCAUCAAAGAAGAGCUUGCUGGAAAAAAAAAAAAAAGAAAAGAAAAAAAAACUCAGGAGCUGGUCAGCCACUGGGAACAAGACUGCCCACGUCCCCCAGCCCAGGCUGCACCAUCCUGUGAAGUUUCAGAAAAUCCCACUCACCAGAUUUAUCAGCUUUCUCAGUGGAACAACUCCCAGCUCUUUGUGGCUCCCCUCACGCAGCCUUAUUGAUACUCUAGCCAUCACCCAGCUGUUGUUAAAAGGAGAUUUGGCAUUGUCUACACAAUUUUCCUACCUCAGAAGAUGAGGAGGAACAGAUCUUUCUGCCUCAUCUCAUGUGCAAUACAUGAUAUGAUUUUCCUAGAUGUGGACUCUACUACAGAUUUUGCUAUUUGCUCCCUACUGAACAUGAAGUUGUGGGUCUUGCAAUCAGAAGGUAAUACAUUUUAUGCCUUUUGGUGGGGAAUAAAUCAAUAACUUGAAAGUAUUAGCCUUAGUCCUGAAGUUAUGGCCUUUUAACCAUUAUAAUGUUCCUAGGCAUUCCCAGCAUGGAAAAGGAGUAUCUCCUCCUCAGAGGCAGAAACAGUCCUGCCCCGUGUUUGUAUGGCACCAGCACUGUGGGAGUCCCGCUCGAGGACUCUGCAGCAACACUGCAGGAAAGGUAAGCAUGAGGGUAAGGAUUCGUGCAUACAAAACUCAUAGCUGACUCCUGCUAAAGUAAAGCACGACCAUCUCCCUAGCUAUGUAAUUCACAUCAAUGUCAAGCUGCAGGCAGGUGGCCGGUCCCCCAGCUACCCGUCAAGGAGCACGCCUGCCUGCCUGCCUGCCUGUCAACCUCUGCUCUGUCUUCACUGGAGCGGUUAACAACAGCAACACGGAGCCUUUCAGCAACAGACUUCAACAAGGCAAAUGGAUGUAAAGAACAGCUGAAAAGACUGUAAACAGCACCGGGCAGCUCUUGCUUGUCUUUCCUAAGACUGACCAUCUAAAGCCUCCAUUUAUAAUGAUGGCUUAUAGAAACAUCAUCAGUAAUAUACGUGUGGGUUUUUAAAGCCAAAGCAAACAAUACCAUUUAUUCAUGCCUCCAGCAUAGCAUCAUUUAGAAAAUAUCACCUAAUAAGAGACGGUAACACUACCAACAUCUGGCAAUAUGAUGAUCUUUGUAAAUAAAUAUUUUCUCACCUGUAUUUUGACA
rnacentral:lncRNA from 1 species